UUUUCAAUAGAACUUUAGUGCUAUAUUAGGGUUAUGGGUGUGCACCAGGGUAGGGUUAGGGUUAGAAAAACAAGCUGUCCUGGCAUAAAUUUGAUGGUUGGUAUGUGUUUAGAAUGGGCCGAAUCGAUGAGCUGUGCAGAAAAAGGUACUCCAGGAAGGCUUUUU